GACGAACGCUGGCGGCGUGCCUAAUACAUGCAAGUAGAACGCUGAAGAGAGGAGCUUGCUCUUCUUGGAUGAGUUGCGAACGGGUGAGUAACGCGUAGGUAACCUGCCUUGUAGCGGGGGAUAACUAUUGGAAACGAUAGCUAAUACCGCAUAACAAUGGAUGACACAUGUCAUUUAUUUGAAAGGGGCAAUUGCUCCACUACAAGAUGGACCUGCGUUGUAUUAGCUAGUAGGUGAGGUAACGGCUCACCUAGGCGACGAUACAUAGCCGACCUGAGAGGGUGAUCGGCCACACUGGGACUGAGACACGGCCCAGACUCCUACGGGAGGCAGCAGUAGGGAAUCUUCGGCAAUGGGGGCAACCCUGACCGAGCAACGCCGCGUGAGUGAAGAAGGUUUUCGGAUCGUAAAGCUCUGUUGUAAGUCAAGAACGAGUGUGAGAGUGGAAAGUUCACACUGUGACGGUAGCUUACCAGAAAGGGACGGCUAACUACGUGCCAGCAGCCGCGGUAAUACGUAGGUCCCGAGCGUUGUCCGGAUUUAUUGGGCGUAAAGCGAGCGCAGGCGGUUUGAUAAGUCUGAAGUUAAAGGCUGUGGCUCAACCAUAGUUCGCUUUGGAAACUGUCAAACUUGAGUGCAGAAGGGGAGAGUGGAAUUCCAUGUGUAGCGGUGAAAUGCGUAGAUAUAUGGAGGAACACCGGUGGCGAAAGCGGCUCUCUGGUCUGUAACUGACGCUGAGGCUCGAAAGCGUGGGGAGCGAACAGGAUUAGAUACCCUGGUAGUCCACGCCGUAAACGAUGAGUGCUAGGUGUUGGAUCCUUUCCGGGAUUCAGUGCCGCAGCUAACGCAUUAAGCACUCCGCCUGGGGAGUACGACCGCAAGGUUGAAACUCAAAGGAAUUGACGGGGGCCCGCACAAGCGGUGGAGCAUGUGGUUUAAUUCGAAGCAACGCGAAGAACCUUACCAGGUCUUGACAUCCCGAUGCUAUUUCUAGAGAUAGAAAGUUACUUCGGUACAUCGGUGACAGGUGGUGCAUGGUUGUCGUCAGCUCGUGUCGCGAGAUGUUGGGUUAAGUCCCGCAACGAGCGCAACCCCUAUUGUUAGUUGCCAUCAUUCAGUUGGGCACUCUAGCGAGACUGCCGGUAAUAAACCGGAGGAAGGUGGGGAUGACGUCAAAUCAUCAUGCCCCUUAUGACCUGGGCUACACACGUGCUACAAUGGUUGGUACAACGAGUUGCGAGUCGGUGACGGCAAGCUAAUCUCUUAAAGCCAAUCUCAGUUCGGAUUGUAGGCUGCAACUCGCCUACAUGAAGUCGGAAUCGCUAGUAAUCGCGGAUCAGCACGCCGCGGUGAACACGUUCCCGGGCCU
rnacentral:rRNA from 1 species